AGAUACUUUUAGUCAGAAUCGAAACAUGCGGACGUGAGCAUCUUAAGACAUGAUCACAGGUUGGCAGUAACAUAAAUUUUAUACUCGUCUAUGAGUAUAGACGACGUGAUCAGUAGAGAAACGUCCCAUAAGAUCGCCAUUUGCGAUAUUUUGUCUCACCAACAUUGCAUGAAACAAUCGCCUGAAAUUAGAAUUCUUGAGUGAUGCCUGUUGCUAGAAAACACAAGAUUCAAGGUGUCGACAAACUUUAGAAGACGAUACUCUGUGUUAUGUAUGAUUUAACGGUACAGUGUGUACACAUAUUUACAUACAAUGCAGAAAAAGAAUGUGAAAAUAUACUAUAACAAUUAAUUUUGUACACGCAUGAUACAUAUUUUUUCUCCUAAACAGUGAUCAGCAUUGUCGUCCAAUAUUUCUAGGUUUCCUACUGAACCGAGGUGAUUGCAGUAAAAUACGAAAAUGAUGUGCUCAUCAUCUGAAACAAAUGUUCAUGGAAUCUGAGAAUUAAGACAUCACAUUUGAUAGAAUGUAAAACAGUUGAUUACCUUGGCAAAGCCUUCGUUAGACGGAAUGAAUAAACCAGCACAACUAAAUUCCAUUUGCAAAUGAGAUGACAACUGUUAAGACAGCCACUAAAUAAGGUAUCGCCAAAGACUUCGUAACAUUUGCUGAGAGUCUUCCUUCGCAAAUUCAUAUUGUUUCAGUAUAUUCAUGAUGGACAGAGAAGACGUACGAGAAGAUAGAUUAAAUGUAUAGUAAAAUAUAUAGCAAUUAUGUUGCUCUAAUAUCUGAAUGAAGGUACCAACUCAGUAGCACGCUGGUGCAAAUCCAUAGCUGAUCGUAUGUCUAUUAUAUGCGAUGUAGCUGUCGUUGAAUUCGCCAGCUGGUCGACAGCAGUUCGUAUUCGGUAACUAGAGCAAUGAAAAUAUAUGUGUACUGUUAAUAUGGACGUUUUCAAUAAUAUAUAUCUAAUUAUUUAACUACUAUUUAUAAGUACGUUUUUCUCUGCGAAACAUUAAAAUGUUCUAUAAUCUUGCUAUUUUCUGUCACUUAUGAAUAGUAUAAUUAACAUUUCCAAGAAGUA